CUCAAAAGCCCCGACUCUUUCCUUCGAAUCUGAUAGGUUAAAAAACAUCGACUCAACCGUCACAAGACGGAAGAUCUGCCAUGAAUCUCGUGAUGUUAGCCAUCGCGAUGACGUUUUUGUCGUCUCCAAUCCCAACGACAGCC
rnacentral:lncRNA from 1 species